AUUGAACGCUGGCGGAAUGCUUUACACAUGCAAGUCGAACGGUAGAGGGGGCAACCCCUCGAGAGUGGCGAACGGGUGAGUAAUAUAUCGGAACGUGCCCAGUCGUGGGGGAUAACGUAGCGAAAGUUACGCUAAUACCGCAUACGAUCUAAGGAUGAAAGCGGGGGAUCGCAAGACCUCGCGCGAUUGGAGUGGCCGAUAUCAGAUUAGGUAGUUGGUGGGGUAAAGGCUCACCAAGCCAACGAUCUGUAGCUGGUCUGAGAGGACGACCAGCCACACUGGAACUGAGACACGGUCCAGACUCCUACGGGAGGCAGCAGUGGGGAAUUUUGGACAAUGGACGCAAGUCUGAUUCAGCCAUUCCGCGUGCAGGAUGAAGGCCCUCGGGUUGUAAACUGCUUUUGUACGGAACGAAAAGGUCUCUCUUAAUACGGGGGACUCAUGACGGUACCGUAAGAAUAAGCACCGGCUAACUACGUGCCAGCCGCCGCAGUAACAC
rnacentral:rRNA from 1 species